AGCUGAGUGGCGCAGCGGAAGCGCGCCGGGCUCAUAACCCGGAGGACAGUGGAUCGAAACCACUCUCAGCUACAA